AUUGAACGCUGGCGGCAUGCCUUACACAUGCAAGUCGAACGGCAGCACGGGAGCAAUCCUGGUGGCGAGUGGCGAACGGGUGAGUAAAGCAUCGGAACGUGCCCAGUCGUGGGGGAUAACGUAGCGAAAGCUACGCUAAUACCGCAUACGAUCUGUUGAUGAAAGCGGGGGACCGUAAGGCCUCGCGCGAUUGGAGCGGCCGAUGUCAGAUUAGGUAGUUGGUGGGGUAAAGGCUCACCAAGCCGACGAUCUGUAGCUGGUCUGAGAGGACGACCAGCCACACUGGGACUGAGACACGGCCCAGACUCCUACGGGAGGCAGCAGUGGGGAAUUUUGGACAAUGGGCGCAAGCCUGAUCCAGCAAUGCCGCGUGCAGGAUGAAGGCCUUCGGGUUGUAAACUGCUUUUGUACGGAGCGAAAAGGCUUCCACUAAUACUGGGGGCUCAUGACGGUACCGUAAGAAUAAGCACCGGCUAACUACGUGCCAGCAGCCGCCGUAACAC
rnacentral:rRNA from 1 species